GGCCCGGCGUCGCGUCAGGGCUGGCCGGCGGCGGAGGCGGCGGCGGCGGUGAUGGCAGCGGACCCUGAGCGAGCUUGAGGGCUCGGACCCAGCUCUCUCCUGCGAAACCUUGGGCCGAUCCGGCGCUGCGGCCCCAGCUCGCUCCGCUCCUGCUCCCUCCCCGGCCGCUGCCUGGGCGGAGGCAGAGGCAGAGGCCCGGGCUGGCCGCCCUGCUCGUGCCCCAGCUCGGCCCCGGACAGCCCGGCUGCUGUGCAGAGAGGAGGCCGAGUCGUGAAAAGAGAAUACUGAAGAAUAGGAUCUCAAGAUGAGUAAAAAGCCCCCAAAUCGCCCUGGAAUCACUUUUGAGAUUGGUGCUCGUUUGGAGGCACUGGACUACUUACAAAAAUGGUAUCCAUCACGAAUUGAAAAAAUUGACUAUGAGGAGGGCAAGAUGUUGGUCCAUUUUGAGCGCUGGAGUCAUCGUUAUGAUGAGUGGAUUUACUGGGAUAGCAAUAGAUUGCGACCCCUUGAGAGACCAGCACUAAGAAAAGAAGGGCUAAAAGAUGAGGAAGAUUUCUUUGAUUUUAAAGCUGGAGAAGAAGUUCUGGCUCGUUGGACAGACUGUCGCUAUUACCCUGCCAAGAUUGAAGCAAUUAACAAAGAAGGAACAUUUACAGUUCAGUUUUAUGAUGGAGUAAUUCGUUGUUUAAAAAGAAUGCACAUUAAAGCCAUGCCCGAGGAUGCUAAGGGGCAGUUUCUGUUCCAGGUGAAAUCCCAGCAUCCACUAAGCUGGUGUUGUCCUAUCGACCCAGCUGGAUCGUGUAACCAGUCUAUGGGAAGUGAGGAUUGGAUAGCUUUAGUCAAAGCAGCUGCUGCAGCUGCAGCCAAGAACAAAACAGGGAGUAAACCUCGAACCAGCGCUAACAGCAAUAAAGAUAAGGAUAAAGAUGAGAGAAAGUGGUUUAAAGUACCUUCAAAGAAGGAAGAAACUUCAACUUGUAUAGCCACACCAGACGUAGAGAAGAAGGAAGAUCUGCCUACAUCUAGUGAAACAUUUGGACUUCAUGUAGAGAACGUUCCAAAGAUGGUCUUUCCACAGCCAGAGAGCACAUUAUCAAACAAGAGGAAAAAUAAUCAAGGCAACUCAUUUCAGGCAAAGAGAGCUCGACUUAACAAGAUUACUGGUUUGUUGGCAUCCAAAGCUGUUGGGGUGGAUGGUGCUGAAAAAAAGGAAGACUACAAUGAAACAGCUCCAAUGCUGGAGCAGGCGAUUUCACCUAAACCUCAAAGUCAGAAAAAAAAUGAAGCUGACAUUAGCAGUUCUGCCAACACUCAGAAACCUGCACUGUUAUCCUCAACUUUGUCUUCAGGGAAGGCUCGCAGCAAGAAAUGCAAACAUGAAUCUGGAGAUUCUUCUGGGUGUAUAAAACCCCCUAAAUCACCACUUUCCCCAGAAUUAAUACAAGUCGAGGAUUUGACGCUUGUAUCUCAGCUUUCUUCUUCAGUGAUAAAUAAAACUAGUCCUCCACAGCCUGUGAAUCCCCCUAGACCUUUCAAGCAUAGUGAGCGGAGAAGAAGAUCUCAGCGUUUAGCCACCUUACCCAUGCCUGAUGAUUCUGUAGAAAAGGUUUCUUCUCCCUCUCCAGCCACUGAUGGGAAAGUAUUCUCCAUCAGUUCUCAAAAUCAGCAAGAAUCUUCAGUACCAGAGGUGCCUGAUGUUGCACAUUUGCCACUUGAGAAGCUGGGACCCUGUCUCCCUCUUGACUUAAGUCGUGGUUCAGAAGUUACAGCACCAGUAGCCUCAGAUUCCUCUUACCAUAAUGAAUGUCCCAGGGCAGAAAAAGAGGAUACACAGAUGCUUCCAAAUCCUUCUUCCAAAGCAAUAGCUGAUGGAAGAGGAGCUCCAGCAGCAGCAGGAAUAUCGAAAACAGAAAAAAAAAUGAAAUUGGAAGAAAAAAGCUCAACAGCAUUUGGUAUGAACAGAAAGUAAUCUUUAAGCAAAAGACUAUAAAGCUUGACAGAGAGGGAGGACAUAGUCUGCCCCUUACUCUUUACCAGUUAAUGCUACCUUAGGUGUAAGUGAUCAUCUGUUUUAGUUCUUACUAGUGUUAGUCAGCUCCAGAUAUAUGAUUUAUUAAACACAUAUCUUGUUUUAUAUGUAACUUUUUUGUCAAGAGAGUCUCUUGCUUUCUCUGAAGGAACUUUUGUGUUUAUGAUCAUCCCUAGUCAAAAUUAUGGCUAUUCAAAAAUAGACCUCGAUUUAAUAUUGUUGAGACUUUAGAGAAUGGAUGAUAGAUUAAAAUAGUAAUUUUUUCACACUUUCUUCUUCAUUAUAGUUUAUAAAAAUGUUAUUGAGUUUUCUGCUAUAUUUUCUGUUUUCUGUGCUGUAAUGACUAAAAGUCACAAAAUAAUGGACGGUAGUCUUAAAUAUACUGUAGAUUAGUUAACUGGAGCUUGAGUCACUGAAAGUUGCUGAAAUAUGUUAGAUAAAUUAUAGGCUAAACCAUUGUGAGUUGGAGCAAUAGCUAGUAGGAUAUGUGUGAUGAUUUAAUUUGAAAUGUAGGAUACUGCUCUAAUAUUUAUUUUUUUAAGUACAUAUGAUUGGGGAAAAGAAUGCUUUACAAUUUUGGAAAAAUUAGUUUAAUGAAAUACAUUUUUUUCCUCAUGUUCUUAGCCUUCAUUGUUAAACACACAAAGAAUGUAAAUAAAGACUGGAGGAGUUGUUUAUGAAUUGAUUUAAUUAUUUUUAAAGCUUAUCCAAAGCAAAAAGUACAUCAGGUUUUUUUUUUUUUUUUUAAAUCUCCUAAUUUAUUCUCUCAUUAAAUUACAUAUGGAAAUGCUGAGUCUCUUCAUUCAGGUCCUUUGUAAAUUAUGGAGUUUAACUUUUUACCACAUCAGGAAAUUGAGAAUAUUACUCAUUGAAAGGUUUUAACUACUGUCUGUGUUAACUUUAAGGUAUCAGGAGUUGGGAUUUCUCAGCACUGCUAAUGAAGAUCCCCUCUUAUAGUCCAAUAAGCUUAUCAGGACUUCCAGAGUCAUGACAUGAACAGUUUAAUUGAACCCAUCCACUCUGGGCAGGUGACUGGAAUAGCUGAUUAAAACAUAAAUGCUGCUUUUAGGUUAACCACAAAGGAACAACUCAGGAUCAGUCGUGAUUGCUAAAGUAUUCACUUUUAUCUUUUAGGUAAGAGAAAAGAAAAAGAUAAGGAAAGAAGAGAGAAGAGAGACAAAGAUCACUACAAACCAAAACAGAAA
rnacentral:sRNA from 1 species